rnacentral:rRNA from 1 species
UACGGAGGGUGCAAGCGUUAUCCGGAUUUAUUGGGUUUAAAGGGUCCGUAGGUGGACCGUUAAGUCAGUGGUGAAAGCCCUCUGCUCAACAGAGGAAUUGCCAUUGAUACUGGCGGUCUUGAGUAUAUGUGAAGUUGGCGGAAUGUGUGGUGUAGCGGUGAAAUGCUUAGAUAUCACACAGAACACCGAUUGCGAAGGCAGCUGGCUAACAUAUAACUGACACUGAGGGACGAAAGUGUGGGGAUCAAACAGG